AAUGUUUUUUUUUUUUUUUUUUUUUUUUUUUUUUUUUGAGAGAUAGGUAGCACGCUACCUGUUUCGUUUAUUUCAUUUAGAAAUAAACUUAGUUGGAAAUGUGAAUCAACUAGGAUUCGAACUUGGGUCUCGGGUAUCAACCACCAAAUCCUUUACCACUUGUUCUAAGGACGGUCGGUCUAAGGUGACAAAUGUUACAACAGCAAAUGAUAAAGGCCUUUUUGCAUAAAAAAUUCACUUAUUUUGGGCUUUUGCAAAAUCGGGUCACCUUUUUCGUUUUUGCAGAUUCGGUCCGCUUUUUCAGCAAACUGAUCAAAAUACCCUUAUUACUUUUUCUCUUUCCUCUUUCUCUCUCCUCUUCGUUUCUGUUGUUUUUUUUUUUCUCGCCGAAAAAAAAAGAGGCGGACCAUCGCCUUCUUCUUCAUCGCCGUCUCCCUCCUCACCCUCCUUCUUCACCGUCGCCUCCCUCCUCACCCUCCUCUCCACUGUCUGCGACCC
rnacentral:lncRNA from 1 species